UAUGACUACAGUCAUAUCCUCAGAAGAUCGAGAAGAAACUUCAGAUGUUUCUUGUAAGAGCCUUUGAGAAACCUAUAAGAUUUCAUAAGAUUCUUAUGAAAACAAUAUCUAAAUGGAAAUGCUGAGAAUAUAAGGAAUAUCGUAGGUAAUAUCCUCUUCAAGGUCUUUUCUACUCACUCAGACUGUACAUAUGUUUGCUUCAGAUUCUGGAAAACCUCUAUAGGGAAUAGCUAUAAAAUACCUAUUUGACAAAAAUCAGAAGGGUGUAAACAACAGUUUUGUUUAUACCAGCUUAAAAAAAGUUUGCAACAGGACUGAACACAUUUAUGGGUAUUAAAACAGUAUCUGAACACAAAAGUAAAUUAAAAGAUCACUAAAGUGGCGAAGUUGAGCACUGAUUUAAGAAAUGUCAAGCUAAAUUUGCUUAUGCAUCUUCCAUUUGCCUCUCUAAUUUGUAUGCACUACUAUUACACGCUCGCACUGCAGGAAUUCCCACAAGGCAUGGUAUAGGCAGCGCUCAGUUAAUGAGCAGUUUUUCAAUACUGUUUUGGCAUCUUUAUUCAUUGUGUAGCCCCAGGCCUGAUUUACUCACAAAUUCUGCUUUCAGUGCAGAAGCAGUCCCUGAUGGACUUUGCUGUGGUGCUCAUGACCGAUUGCUUUACAAAGUAUCGCCACAGUACCCUUCAGGAACAAGAGGGUGGAAGUACUCCCAGUGCAAAGCUGAGGCAGAGGCUGAGCAGGACAGGUGAAAUUGCCAGUCCUUGCCUUCCCAGAGUGCUUAGCUUUUUCAAUACAUAAAGCGAUGUUUCUCACUUGCUCACACUUCAGCUGUACCUCCUCACCGCUACUAACUGGAGUAACUUUUGCAAGCCAAGUGCCCAGAAACAAAAGGACUAAAGCAAUGUGCAGUAGUUAAUUUCAUGAUUUUUCUGCUAGCCCACAGGGCAAUGACAGAUCCAAUCCUCCUGAGUAGCAAUGAACCCGCCUUACCUUUGCAAUAUGGUUUCUUUCAUGGUCCCACCUCACUCACAUCACAUCUUCUGCAACAAAUGAAUCAGCCAUCUGGUGCAUUCUCACAUCCAUUCUAAGCAGGGUAAGCACCGUGUGGGCAAAAGAGCCCCCAGUCAUGUAAAAAUAAUUUUGUUAAGAAAUAAGCCUGUGUACUAUCUAUCCAACGACAGUUAAUAAUAAAAUGAUGAUAAGUAGCACAUAAUCAGUCUGUCUUGUAAUACCACCAACAGCUUAACUCUCUGCCAGCCGAGUGCUUAAAAAGCAUACUUGCUGACAUAGGUCUCAGCGGGACUUCCUGGAACCCCUAACCUCUUACAUCCACAUCUUCAAGCCUUUCUACUGCUUGUUAAAAAUAGCUGUUUGUUAGCUAGGCACAAAGUACCUAACCCCACGGCUGGCUGUUGCCUGGUUAUUGGCUAUUUCAGGCUAAUCCAGCUCUCUGCAAGACAUUCGUGUUUGUUCUUUCCGUGUCGAUAUGUUGCUGCUACCAUAUAGGCAGUUUUGAGUCUAUUUCUAUAUCUUUGAUUGUUGUGAUAAUGACAAGGACUUAACUGAGAAAUGAAAAUUAUUAUUGCUGUAUUGAUCUGGAUCACCGUGGUGCUCUGUAAAAUGAUUUUGUGUGGUAGUUACAAAUUCUUGUGCAGGUCAGGGUGAUUCUGAUUAACAAAAAUAAAACUGAACGGCCUUUUCUUGCCAAAAGAUUACAAGGAUUAUUCUAAUUUACCUCCCUCUACAAUAAAGCAUGGUGAUUUGUUGUUACCAGGAUGCUCACGCGACCCCCUGGUGAGAGGAAAUGAAUUGUGGAGCUCCAUCCUUCCAUGAAGGAAAAAGAGAUGAGGAAUUUGGAUUACCUUUGUCUGAAUAUGAUGCAAGAGCUGUUUCAGUGUCAGGUUCUUGCAAUGCCAGUGAAAGGAAGACCCUACAGGACGUUCCUGGAUCUCAGAGAAGCCAUUCUGAACUGUGGCUCCUGCCACAAAUCAGAGCCAUGUGCCAAAAUGGUUAAAACUUCUGUACAGGAAACAUCAGGGAAGAAGAGCCAGUUACAGUGCUGUUUUCUGACAUAAAUCAGCAAAGCUUAAAGGCACUGCUGCAUAUGGACACGAGAUGCUAAAAUUUAACUUUAAAAAGGGGUCAGCAAAGUGACUGUCAAUUUUAGAGAAAAUGAGUACUUUUUUUUUCUUAAUAUUCUUAGUUAACUUCUCCAACUUUUCAAAAAUUAUUAUUUUUGAUGAAACUUCUUAUCAAACUUUUCAAAUUUCAGUGUGAAACAGAUUGUCGUCACUGCAAUGCUCAGCCCAAACAGCGACAGAGUAAAAUAGCUUCAAGAAGCUCUAUUCUCCAAUUGGGAAGCACAGGACAGCCUUCAUUAAAAACAAACACAUAAAUAAGUCCCCUGGAAUAAAACCAGAGCAACUUACAGCACCCCACAGUGCUCUAAUUUUGCUCCUGUGCCCAACAUGUUGUGCUGUGCUUCAUGUGCCAG
ensembl:lncRNA